CAGACUCCUACGGGAGGCAGCAGUGGGGAAUCUUCCGCAAUGGACGAAAGUCUGACGGAGCAACGCCGCGUGAGUGAUGACGGCCUUCGGGUUGUAAAGCUCUGUUAAUCGGGACGAAAGGCCUUCUUGCGAAUAGUGAGAAGGAUUGACGGUACCGGAAUAGAAAGCCACGGCUAACUACGUGCCAGCAGCCGCGGUAAUACGUAGGUGGCAAGCGUUGUCCGGAAUUAUUGGGCGUAAAGCGCGCGCAGGCGGAUAGGUCAGUCUGUCUUAAAAGUUCGGGGCUUAACCCCGUGAUGGGAUGGAAACUGCCAAUCUAGAGUAUCGGAGAGGAAAGUGGAAUUCCUAGUGUAGCGGUGAAAUGCGUAGAUAUUAGGAAGAACACCAGUGGCGAAGGCGACUUUCUGGACGAAAACUGACGCUGAGGCGCGAAAGCCAGGGGAGCGAACGGGAUUAGAUACCCCGGUAGUCCUGGCCGUAAACGAUGGGUACUAGGUGUAGGAGGUAUCGACCCCUUCUGUGCCGGAGUUAACGCAAUAAGUACCCCGCCUGGGGAGUACGACCGCAAGGUUGAAACUCAAAGGAAUUGACGGGGGCCCGCACAAG
rnacentral:rRNA from 1 species